UACGGGGGGGGCAAGCGUUGUUCGGAAUUACUGGGCGUAAAGGGCGCGUAGGCGGUUCGCUAAGUUGGAUGUGAAAACUCUGGGCUCAACCCAGAGCCUGCAUCCAAAACUGGCGGGCUAGAGUUCUGGAGGGGGUAGCGGAAUUCCUGGUGUAGCGGUGAAAUGCGUAGAGAUCCGGAGGAACACCAGUGGCGAAGGCGACACGCUGGGCCGUACCUGACACUGAUGCGCGACAGCAUGGGGAGCAAACAGG
rnacentral:rRNA from 1 species